GAUGAACGCUGGCGGCGUGCCUAAUACAUGCAAGUAGAACGCUGAAGCUUGGUGCUUGCACCGAGCGGAUGAGUUGCGAACGGGUGAGUAACGCGUAGGUAACCUGCCUCUUAGCGGGGGAUAACUAUUGGAAACGAUAGCUAAUACCGCAUAAAAGUCGACAUCGCAUGAUGUUGACUUGAAAGGUGCAAUUGCAUCACUAAGAGAUGGACCUGCGUUGUAUUAGCUAGUUGGUGAGGUAACGGCUCACCAAGGCGACGAUACAUAGCCGACCUGAGAGGGUGCUCGGCCACUCUCGGCGUGAGACUCCGCCCGGACUCCUACGGGAGGCAGCAGUAGUGUAUCUUCGGCAACGGGGGCAACCCUGACCGCGCUAGGCCGCGUGAGUGAAGGAGGUUUUCGGAUCGUAAAGCUCUGUUGUUGGAGAAGAACGAGUUUGAAAGUGGAAAGUUCCCACUGUGGCGGUAACUUACCAGAAUGCCACGGCUAACUACGUG
rnacentral:rRNA from 1 species